AAAAAAAAAAAAAAAAAAAACUCUUCCAAAAAAGCACCGGUCUGCAGAUGUCUGCAAGAGAAUCAACAAACCCUCCUUCUUCUACGGCAGGGCAGACACAAGAGAUUUGGACUGGACUUUUGUAAAAUAAGUUUCAGGAAGGAUCUUCUGGUUAAAAAUGAACAAACCUUAGAACACCCAACUGGCCAGUGGAUGUGUAUAAAGUAAGAGAGCACAAAGACUUCUGGAAAAGCACACCCCACUAACCCAGCUGCACUGAAGACUAGGCUGGCAGCAGGUCCAUCCAUGCAGCGGCCACUGACUAUCAAAGCCAAUUGUUACCGAAGUGACAACGAAGAGAUCAGUCCUGCAUCUGCUGAAGCCAAUAGGAGGAAACAGAAAA